ACGCACGCUGGCGGCGUGCCUAAUACAUGCACGUCGAACGAACCGCGACUAAGUGCUUGCACUAAGUCAAGGUGAGUGGCGAACGGGUGGGUAACACGUGGGUAACCUACCUCAUAGUGGGGGAUAACAGUCGGAAACGACUGCUAAUACCGCAUAGGACAUAGGAUCACAUGAUCCAGUGAGGAAAGGUGGCGCAAGCUAUCGCUAAGAGAUGGACCCGCGGUGCAUUAGCUAGUUGGUAGGGUAAAGGCCUACCAAGGCGAUGAUGCAUAGCCGACCUGAGAGGGUGAUCGGCCACAUUGGGACUGAGACACGGCCCAAACUCCUACGGGAGGCAGCAGUAGGGAAUCUUCCGCAAUGGACGCAAGUCUGACGGAGCAACGCCGCGUGAGUGAAGAAGGUCUUCGGAUCGUAAAGCUCUGUUGUUAGAGAAGAACAGCGCAUAGAGUAACUGCUAUGCGUGUGACGGUAUCUAACCAGAAAGCCACGGCUAACUACGUG
rnacentral:rRNA from 1 species